CGGCCCCAGCGUGUCUUCUGGUGGCGAAGCGGGGUUGCCGUGCUGUGCAUCGACAGAGGGAGCUGGCUCGGCAAGCUACCUGAUAGAAAGGAAAGGUCUUCCCGCGUUAAACUUCCCACCAGCUCUAGGUGCCGUUGAGGCGGGUCGAGCCGUCGCCUGUGGCGGGGCUGAGGGAAGCACAGGCUGGGGGCGGAGUGAGGCCUCGCCGUGGAAGUGCUGUUGGAAGUUCGGUUUCAGAGUUUGUUUAGAUGCAUUCGUCCGUAUGAAGGCGCUUUUGAACUUAAAAAUGAAACUUGCCAGCAAUACUUUUGUUCAGACCUGCCCUGACUGCCUAGCAUGAGGAAAAGAAUAUUUUACAGUUCAUACCAUACAGGGAUGGAGGUAAAGGGAACAUUUGACCAAAUCAGAGUUCAAUUAAAGAAAGAAGAAUAUGGAUCUGGAAAACUCACAAUGUGCUCGUGGAGAAGGGAUGAUCAACCAUUAGGAGAGGAGUUGGUUUUCAAGAAAACUGAAGAGAUAAAUAGAAGCACAAGUAAACAGUUGAAACCAAGAAGAAGUAGUUUGAAACUUUGGUUUGGAGAAGGGAUAUCCUGUAAGGAACAAAAUCAUGACCAACAUGGUUUUCCCAGGUGAAGAAUUGAAAACGUGAAAUUAACUAAAGCACAAACAACUAAAGCAUAGUUAUUCAUGCUAGUAUUAUAUGUGACCCAGAUGAGCAAAGAGUAUGAUAAAAGGUUUCCUUUCAUUUGUAUAAUCACUUCAGGAAUGCUUCAUGUGUGUGAAGGGAAAACAAAAGUUGCAUGAUGAGACAUUUCUCAGUCAUGACUUCUGAAGACUUUACAGCCUUAGCGUGCUCCUAAGACACAGAGCCUUCUAAGAUCCAAGGACAUCAUCUUACCUGUCUUUUACCCUUUUUUGGAAGCAUCUAAAGAAAAACUGGGUUUUAUGAAGGUAUAUGAAGAUAUCUUCUGAUAUAUGAAGAAUUGACAGCUUUCUCAGCAGGGAAGAUUGGCCUCUUUACAUUGGAAGACCUCUGUCUGUGGUGUAUGCAUUUCAGAGCCUUCCCACCUGCUUUUGACAAGCUGGGUGAAAUAUAUCAUGGGAAGCCACACUUGUGAAGAUCAGGUACACAGUUUAGUGUCCCAUUCAAGGAACACAGCCACUGCCGAACAGCUGGAGGUUGAUUUUUCCAUAGUGACUUUAACUGGACACAUAUGGGAAGACAUAAGGUAUGCAGUAGCUAAGGAGGAAGUAUAUUAUUUAUUUAAUUUUGCUGUUAGCUAUCAUCAUGCUUACACAUUUAGGUGGACUAUAAUCAUUAUUUGGCAUUUUUGAAAGAUCAGUGAU